rnacentral:misc_RNA from 1 species
GAUGAAGAACGUAGCGAAAUGCGAUAAGUAAUGUGAAUUGCAGAAUUCAGUGAAUCAUCGAAUCUUUGAACGCACAUUGCGCCCGCCAGCAUUCUGGCGGGCAUGCCUGUUCGAGCGUCAUUUCAACCCUCAAGCUCUGCUUGGUGUUGGGGCCCUACGUCUGACGUAGGCCCUCAAAGACAGUGGCGGACCCUCUCGGAGCCUCCUUUGCGUAGUAACUAACGUCUCGCACUGGGAUUCGGAGGGACUCUUGCCGUAAAACCCCCAAUUUUUACAGGUUGACCUCGGAUCAGGUAGGGAUACCCGCUGAACUUAAGCAUAUCAAUAAGCGGAGGA